rnacentral:lncRNA from 1 species
AUUAGAGGCUACAAACACACCAGAAACAGGCAUGGAGGGUCCUACUGUGAACAGCUGAAAAACUCUUCUCUGCCCUUACUUGCCCAGGACCUGGGUAGGUUUUACUGGAGGAAAAGCAUUCCAGGAAGAACUUGGCAGUGAAAGGAAUCCUCUGGUCUUUUCAUCAUCUCUAUCUAUAUAAUCCAUAUCAUAGAUCAUAUCAUAUCAUCUCUCUAUCCAUUUUUUUUUAGGGAACUCUUCUGAUGAAUGCCUGAAGUAGCUGGUAUCCCAUGAGAAGAUCCCUCUGCAGAUCUACAGGCAAGACCCAGCUGAUGUAGUUCCAUGGUGCUGCACAGACCUGGGACCAGCUGCCCUCAGCCUCCAGCACCAGGACUCCAGGAAGGUCCCUCUGGGGGCUCCUCAAAGUCCAGGAGGACAGGGAAGAGUGCUGCACCUUCAGCUGGGGCUGGAUGUGUCCUUGUGCAUUUUGGCUCCAGGAGCUGCUGAAGAUGAGGAAUGCCUCAAGAACAAAGUGGCUCAUUCCUGUGCAUCCUUGCUGUCAUCCCAGAGAAGCCAUCAGUGUGACCACUACCAGAAGGAACUUAGCACAAAAUCUUCAGGUCCAUCCUGGAUAUUUGUCACAGAUGCAACGCUGAGUAAUUACCUUGUUGCAUAUAUCAACACUUUUCCUCCAAAUCUAUGAAAGCAACAGAAAUUAAUUGCUGCAAUGUACUUCCCAUAUCAUCAAGAGUCAGAUUUUGGUACCUUGAGAACGCCAGACCCCCAAGGACCUGGACCUGAUGUUUGAUAAUAUUUGGGCCGACAGUGCCACCAAAAGGAAAUGGGAUAAACUCCCCAUCCCAGAAAUAACUCCUGAUGGUGUUUUUGGUGCAGUUUCCCCGACUGCCUUCCCUCCAGACCUCUGCUUUACCCCUUCCUCCGUACAUCUGUCUCUAUGAGAAACACUCACAGCCCUCCUGAGGCACCGAGGAAGAGAAAUUAUUGAUUUAGCCGGGAGAGACACUGUUUAGCCGCUAAAGAUAUUUCCAGCUCUAUAAAACCAUAUAAAAUUGCUUGACUGCUAAACUGCAGCACAUGGAGAAAUUUCAUUCUUUGUUUUGGAAAACAUAUUCUCCAUAUCCUGCAAAAUAUCAUUUUGCUUGUGGUUAACUGGAAUCAUUUUAUCAUUUUGUGUCCAAGCAGGCACUAUGACAAUAAAUUACAAAUAUUAGAGUUUGCCCA